rnacentral:tRNA from 1 species
GCAGCACUGGUGUAAUGGUAGCGCUCAAGUUUGCCAUACUUGUAGUAGGGGUUCAAUUCCCCUGUGCUGCUC